GCGCCCUUAGCUCAGCUGGAUAGAGCGUGUGGCUUCGGACCACAAGGUCGGGGGUUCGAAUCCCUCAGGGCGCGCCA
rnacentral:tRNA from 1 species